CGCAUAUUGCGCCCCUUGGUAUUCCUUGGGGCACACCUGUUCGAGCGUCAUUUCACCAAUCAAGCCUCGCUUGGUAUUAGACCCGGCCCUGGGGCCGGUCCGCAACCACUCGGCGGUGCUGUGCGGCCUUAAGCGUAACAGAAAUCUCGCUUCUGGGUUGACGCGGCGUCUGCCGGUUAAGACAUUCUCUGAAGUUUGACCUCGGAUCAGGUAGGGAUACCCGCUGAACUUAA
rnacentral:misc_RNA from 1 species